UUACUUACCUGGCAAGGGAGAAGCCAUGAUCACGAAGGUGGUUUUCCCAGGGUGAGGCUUAUUCAUUGCACUCCAGAUGUGCUGACCCCUGCGAUUUCCUCAAAUGUGGAAAUGUGGGAAACUCAGUUGCAUAAUUUGUGGUAGUAGGGGACUGU
ensembl:snRNA U1 U1 spliceosomal RNA